ACAAUUCUGUGAGGUGCUUUUAUUAUCUCCAUUUUACAGAUGAGGAAACUGAGCCUCGGAGACCUGACCUCGCGUGGUCAAAAUAAGAAAUUUCACUUUUGGGUGCCUCCUAACUUGGACAGUAAGAAAAUUCCCCUUCAGAUUUUCCAACUGUCCCAUGAAGAAUGGGAACAAGUGUGCUGCGAGGACCCAUGGGACUGAAUUCGUUGAGCCCCUGAGCUACAGCCUAUAACCCUAAGGUAGGCUCACAAAUGCCGCUCAGCGACCUCAGCAGUACUUUUGACCGCCUACUAAGUGCCAGGCACUGGCCCAGGUAUUCAGAUGCAACCAAGGAGCACACAGUUUUGGCUCUGGUGGAGUACUAACUAUUCAGGACGUUAGGCAGUUCCGGUUUUCCCAUGACAAACCUGCAGCCCGGGAGCGUGGGAUUUGCCUUGUCUAAGUGCACCGUUACACAGAGGGAAAAUGGAUUUGAAGGGAACAAGCCUCACUUCAGAGCUUGAAGUCGUUGGAGUUUCCUGGUCUCCAAGGAUUCUUUCCUUCCUGGCGUGGCUAGAGGCAAGAUUAGGCGCAGAAGUAGCCGGACGGGGAAAUUGCGGCAGCUCGGGCAUCUGUGGCGCUGGGGAUGUGCUCUACUCCUUCCCUUGGGUCUCACUAUGUAAUUGAGACUGACCUGGAACUC